rnacentral:rRNA from 1 species
CGAGUUCACACUCGUGGCGAAUAGCUCAGUAACACGUGGCCAAACUACCCUUCGGAACACGAUACCCUCGGGAAACUGAGGCUAAUAGUGUAUCCCAUACCACCACUGGAAUGAGUGGUAUGUCAAACGCUCCGGCGCCGAAGGAUGUGGCUGCGGCCGAUUAGGUAGACGGUGGGGUAACGGCCCACCGUGCCAAUAAUCGGUACGGGUCAUGAGAGUGAGAACCCGGAGACGGAAUCUGAGACAAGAUUCCGGGCCCUACGGGGCGCAGCAGGCGCGAAACCUUUACACUGCACGACAGUGCGAUAGGGGGAUCCCAAGUGCACAGGCAUAGCGCCUGUGCUUUUCGGCACCCUAAGGCGGUGCCAGAAUAAGGGCUGGGCAAGACCGGUGCCAGCCGCCGCGGUAAUACCGGCAGCCCAAGUGAUGGCCGAUCUUAUUGGGCCUAAAGCGUCCGUAGCUGGCCGCGCAAGUCCAUCGGGAAAUCCACCUGCUCAACAGGUGGGCGCCCGGUAGAAACUGCGUGGCUUGGGACCGGAAGGCGCGACGGGUACGUCCGGGGUAGGAGUGAAAUCCCGUAAUCCUGGACGGACCGCCGAUGGCGAAAGCACGUCGCGAGAACGGAUCCGACAGUGAGGGACGAAAGCCAGGGUCUCGAACCGGAUUAGAUACCCGGGUAGUCCUGGCCGUAAACAAUGUCUGCUAGGUGUGGCUCCCACUACGAGUGGGUGCUGUGCCGUAGGGAAGCCGCUAAGCAGACCGCCUGGGAAGUACGUCCGCAGGGAUGAAACUUAAAGGAAUUGGCGGGGGAGCACUACAACCGGAGGAGCCUGCGGUUUAAUUGGACUCAACGCCGGACAUCUCACCAGCAUCGACUGUGGUAAUGACGAUCAGGUUGAUGACCUUAUCCGAGCCUCAGAGAGGAGGUGCAUGGCCGCCGUCAGCUCGUACCGUGAGGCGUCCUGUUGGGGUGGGCAAGGAGCCAGACCCGCACUCUUACUUGCCAGCAGUACCGCGAGGUAGCUGGGGACAGUAGGAGGACCGCCGUGGCUCACACGGAGGAAGGAACGGGCAACGGUAGGUCAGUAUGCCCCGAAUGUGCUGGGCAACACGCGGGCUACAAUGGUCGAGACAAAGGGUUCCUACUCCGAAAGGAGACGGUAAUCUCAGAAACUCGAUCGUAGUUCGGAUUGUGGGCUGCAACUCGCCCACAUGAAGCUGGAUUCGGUAGUAAUCGC